UUGACUAAUCGAAUCGAAAGACAUCCGAUUAAUCGAUGAAUCGAUUAAUUAAUCGAUAAUCGAAAACCUCUACCCUGUCUUCUGAGCGUGAGGGGGGCGAUCUGACCUGAUGAAAGUCAGUCAGACUCGCCAUCGAUGAUCGCAACCCUUUCGGGGGUAGGAAGAGAGGGGUCUCUGAGUGGU
rnacentral:snoRNA from 1 species